AGAGUUUGAUCCUGGCUCAGGAUGAACGCUGGCGGCGUGCCUAAUACAUGCAAGUCGAACGCACAGCGAAAGGUGCUUGCACCUUUCAAGUGAGUGGCGAACGGGUGAGUAACACGUGGACAACCUGCCUCAAGGCUGGGGAUAACAUUUGGAAACAGAUGCUAAUACCGAAUAAAACUCAGUGUCGCAUGACACAAAGUUAAAAGGCGCUUUGGCGUCACCUAGAGAUGGAUCCGCGGUGCAUUAGUUAGUUGGUGGGGUAAAGGCCUACCAAGACAAUGAUGCAUAGCCGAGUUGAGAGACUGAUCGGCCACAUUGGGACUGAGACACGGCCCAAACUCCUACGGGAGGCUGCAGUAGGGAAUCUUCCACAAUGGGCGAAAGCCUGUUGGAGCAACGCCGCGUGUGUGAUGAAGGCUUUCGGGUCGUAAAGCACUGUUGUAUGGGAAGAACAGCUAGAAUAGGGAAUGAUUUUAGUUUGACGGUACCAUACCAGAAAGGGACGGCUAAAUACGUGCCAGCAGCCGCGGUAAUACGUAUGUCCCGAGCGUUAUCCGGAUUUAUUGGGCGUAAAGCGAGCGCAGACGGUUGAUUAAGUCUGAUGUGAAAGCCCGGAG
rnacentral:rRNA from 1 species